AUUGAACGCUGGCGGCAGGCCUAACACAUGCAAGUCGAGCGGAGCAGCGGAAGGGUGAGUAAUGCCUAGGACUCUGCCUGGUAGUGGGGGAUAACGUCAGGAAACGGGCGCUGAUACCGCAUACUAUCAGAUGAGCCUAGGUCGGAAUAGCUAGAUGGGGGGGUAAAGGCAUACCGAGGCGACGAUCCGUAGCUGGUCUGGGAGGAUGAUCAGUCACACUGGAACUGAGACACGGGCCAGACUCCUACGGGAGGCAGCAGUGGGGAAUAUUGGACAAUGGGCGAAAGCCUGAUGCAGCCAUGCCGCGUGUGUGAAGAAGGUCGUCGGAUUGUAAAGUACUUUAAGUUGGGAGGCGUUACCAACAGAAUAAGCACCGGCUAACUGCGUGCCAGCAGCCGCGGUAAUUC
rnacentral:rRNA from 1 species